rnacentral:rRNA from 1 species
GUUUNGAAAAGGCCGCAAAUUCAGCAUGCUUCCAAGGGGAGAAAGCAGAAAACGUACCAACCUUCUGCUAUCAGAUGAGCCUAGGUCGCAUUAGCUAGUUGGUGAGGUAACGGCUCACCAAGGCGACGAUGCCGUAGCCGACCUGAGAGGGAUGAAUCGAGCCACACUGGGAACUGAGACACGGCCCAGACUCCUACGGGAGGCAGCAGUAGGGAAUCUUCCCCAAUGGACGCAAGCCUGACCCAGCACACGCCGCGUGAGUGAAGAAGGUUUUUCGGAUCGUAAAGCUCUGUUGCCAGGGAAGAACGCC